GUCCACGCCGUAAACGAUGUCGACUUGGAGGUUGUUCCCUUGAGGAGUGGCUUCCGGAGCUAACGCGUUAAGUCGACCGCCUGGGGAGUACGGCCGCAAGGUUAAAACUCAAAUGAAUUGACGGGGGCCCGCACAAGCGGUGGAGCAUGUGGUUUAAUUCGAUGCAACGCGAAGAACCUUACCUACUCUUGACAUCCAGAGAACUCGCCAGAGAUGGCUUGGUGCCUUCGGGAACUCUGAGACAGGUGCUGCAUGGCUGUCGU
rnacentral:rRNA from 1 species